rnacentral:RNase_P_RNA from 1 species
AGAGGAGACCGGACGGCCGCCCUCCGCCAGAGAUCAUUGGUGGGCGGGAGGAAAGUCCGGACUCCAUAGGGCAGCGGAGUGGGUAACACCCACCCCCCGCGAGGGGCGGAUUAGAGCCACAGAGACGAGUCUCCUGCCGCGAGGCGGGAGGGUGAAACGGGCAAUCUCUCCGCGGAGCAAGACCGAAUAGACCCCGCCACGGGCGGCUCGUCCGGUCCGGCCGGAAGGCCGGGGUGGGGAGGGUAGGUUGCAUGAGAGGAAUGGCCGUCCCUCCGCAAGGAGGACAGAAUCCGGCUUACAGGUCUCCUCUCCGA